AUCGAACGCUGGCGGCAUGCCUAACACAUGCAAGUCGAACGAGACCUUCGGGUCUAGUGGCGCACGGGUGCGUAACGCGUGGGAACCUGCCCUUAGGUUCGGAAUAACUCCCCGAAAGGGGUGCUAAUACCGGAUAAUGUCUUCGGACCAAAGAUUUAUCGCCUUUGGAUGGGCCCGCGUUGGAUUAGCUGGUUGGUAGGGUAAAAGCCUACCAAGGCGACGAUCCAUAGCUGGUCUGAGAGGAUGAUCAGCCACACUGGGACUGAGACACGGCCCAGACUCCUACGGGAGGCAGCAGUGGGGAAUAUUGGACAAUGGGCGAAAGCCUGAUCCAGCAAUGCCGCGUGAGUGAUGAAGGCCUUAGGGUUGUAAAGCUCUUUUACCCGGGAUGAUAAUGACAGUACCGGGAGAAUAAGCGCCGGCUAACUCCGUG
rnacentral:rRNA from 1 species